rnacentral:rRNA from 1 species
UACGAAGGGGGCUAGCGUUGCUCGGAAUCACUGGGCGUAAAGGGUGCGUAGGCGGGGCUUUAAGUCAGGGGUGAAAUCCCGAGGCUCAACCUCGGAACUGCCUUUGAUACUGGGAAUCUGGAGUCCGGGAGAGGUGAGCGGAACUGCGAGUGUAGAGGUGAAAUUCGUAGAUAUUCGCAAGAACACCAGUGGCGAAGGCGGCUCACUGGCCCGGAACUGACGCUGAGGUGCGAAAGCGUGGGGAGCAAACAGG